GGGCAGAGCUCCACUAAUUAGGGAAGCUAACUUUAUUUUCAGCAGAUUAGCUUUUUAGCUAACAUUUAAAACUAUUAGCGGGCCAAUUAGCUUCCACAAAAUUUAGUCCUGCUCACUUUAAGUCUGCAAA